rnacentral:lncRNA from 1 species
UGGCAUUAUUUUUAAAUGUAUGAAAACUCUUCAUUUUAAUUUUUAAGAUCUUUAAUUUUAAUCAAUAGGAAAUUUACUCUCAUUAAAUCACUGAUACAUUUUAGGACAUUUGGCUAUGAAAAGCCAACCUGAAGCUAAGGUCUAACGUUUUAAAGCUGAGAGCUUUUUUGGAUUGUUCGUCCAAAGGCUAAGCAAAAGCAGACAAGGUAACUAACGUUAAAAAUUCCUUGGCUGGGCGCAGUGGCUCACUCCUGUAAUCCCAGCACUUUGGGAGGCUGAUGUGGGCAGAUCACCUGAGGUCAGGAGUUCAAGACCAGGCUGGCCUACAUGGCGAAACCCCGUCUCCACUAAAUAUACAAAAAUUAGCCAGGUUUGGUGGCGCAUGCCUAUAAAUCAGCUACUCAGGAGGCUGCGGCAGGAGAAUCACUUGAACCGGGGAGGUAGAGGUUGCGGUGAGCCGAGAUCACGCUACUGCAUUCCAACAAGGGGGACAGAGCGAAACUCUGUCUCAAAAAAAAUAAUAAAAUUAAAAAUAAAUAAAUAAAUAAACUUGAAAAAAGUUAACCUGAUUGCUUAGUAUAGAUUAAAUGAUGCUAUAACAUUAUCAAUCAUGGUAGAAGACAGGACUUUGAAAAUUCAGACUUAAAUGAUGGUUAUUAUUCUUUAAAAAGAUCAUUCUUAGAUUCUGAUAGCAUGAAACACAUUGGUUUAAAUCUAGCUUUCUUAAUUAAGUCAUACAACUGCUUAUAGGGUUUCUUCCUAGUCAUUCAUUCAUUUGAUAAUUAUUUUCGUAAUGCCUACUGUGUACCAGGUACUGAGUAUAAAACAGUGCACAAAAUACACAAAAAUUUCUGACCUCGUGGAAUUUACGAAGAGAUCUUUAUCCUCUUCAGUCAUCGUGAGACUAUUGAUAGUACAUUGAACAGAUAUAAAAUUUCUUUGCUUAUUGUGAUCACAUUGGAGGUUUAAUUACACCUUUUUUAUGUGGUUUUAUGCUUACACAGGCAAAAAAAGAUGAAGAACACUUUUAAAUAAUUCAGAUUGAAAUAACUGGUAUUGAGGAGAGAAGAGGAUACAGGAGGAAAUGAAUUAUCUGUACAGGUUAUUCUCAUUACCACAGUAACCCAGAGCUUCAAUGUACAGAUUUAUUUUUUCUCUUACCUAAUCUUGUGCUGAUACUAAUGUCAAGACCACUUAAUUGUCCUUCUGCAUAUUCUAUUUAUGUGGAUAUGCCAACAAUUUCUUUUUAUUUAAAAAGAGGAUCUUCCUCCACUAUCCCACUCAGAUCUUAAGCCGUAAUCAAUGUUAAGUGCUGCUGGGUCUUGGGUAGGUCUCUCCCAUGGGAGAAUAGAACCUCUAUUUCAGGUGGCUAGUAAAGGCAAUGUUUAAACACACUAUAAGUAAACACAUUUUUACUUUCCUGCAAACUGCCAUGAUAAGCCUGGUAUUCUACCUUUCACCCAGGUAUAGAAUACUAAGGUUGAAGGAGACUCAUACUAAAAGGUAGAAUAAAGCUGGUUGGGCAGUGAAAUUAGGAAUCUAUAUGAAGAAUUAAAGUAGGUUUAAAAUGCAAAAGAAGAGUUACAGAAAAAAGAAGCCGGCCGGGCGCGGGGGAUCACGCCUGUAAUCCUAGCACUUUGGGAGGUUGAGGCAGGCGGAUCGCCUGAGCUCAGGAGUUUGAGACCAGCCUGGGCAACGUAGCGAAACCCCAUCUCUACUAAAAAUACAAAAAAAAAAAAAAAUUAGCAGGGCGUAGAGGUGCAUGCCUGUAGUCCCAGCUCCUUGGGAGGCUGAGGCAGGAGAGUCUCUUGAACCUGGGAGGCAGAGGUUGCAGUGAGCCGAGAUGGUGCCAUUGCACUCCAGACUGGGUGACACAGCAAGACUGUCUCAAAAAAAAAAAAAAAAAAAGAAAAGAGAAGCCAAAGACAUUCUGAAUGGCAGUCAUCUUUCUCUUUUCAUUUUUACUGCAACAUUUUCAAAUACAGAUACCAUACACAAUUUUUGAGCUCUUUGAAAAAAAGCUGAAUAUAAAUGUUUUAAAUAAAUAAUAUUUAGUAAUUGUGAACACUCUGGUUAUAGUACAUCAAACAUAUUUUAGAUUUUAGUUUUUAAAAACUAAUUUCUGCUUCCAAAUAACCCAGCUCCUGCCUUGCUUAUCUUCAGUUGUAAUUGUAUAAACAUUAUAUCACAAACCUACUAGUUCAAGAUUUCAUCAGAGUUUAUUGAUACAAAAAAUAAUCUUUAAAACUUUCUAAUGCCCAACAUAGUUAAAAACAAACUUUGUUAAGUGGCAAGCAAACACAAGGUUGGUUACAUGUCUUAAGCCUUCCCCAUAAAGUUGAGUGGCUCAUCCAACACAUGUGUUUCUUGUGGUUUGAACACGAUCCUGUGCUUGCCUUCAGCUGUUUUCUUAAUUCAGUCAGUCAGCCACAGAAACAAUUUACUCACAUUGGGAUGAUCCACAGGAAUGCCAAGGAAUCUGGAAGUUCUAUGGCAGAGGAAGUCUUCACUUGGACGAGGAGGAAACUGAAGAUCAGAGAAGAAAUUGCACAAAGCCACUCAGAGCUGUGAUUCACAUCUAAGGUCCAUACAACGCCGAAGCCCAGCUCUUGUCUGCUACACCACGCCACAUUUCAGAGGCCUGCACACUCAUUAGUAAUGCAUUCAGGAAUCUAUUUGGAAAAAAACACAGAAGAUGCAGAGUAACAAGAUGGAGACAUCUGGUGAUAUUGGUAUUACCUUGAUUUCAUGACUUCCUCCAAAGUGUUUCCAAGUCCUUGGAAAUGCAGGUGAUUUACUAUCUCUCACUAGUCAAAGAAAUAGCUUAAAGGAAUUGAAGCAACAAUACAUAAUAAGCAAUUCUCUCUGUGCAUCUCUAUCUGCAAAUUAUUAGUUACUUUUUUUUUUUUGAGACAGAGUCUUGCUCUGUCACCCAGGCUGGAGUGCAGUGGCACGAUCUUGGCUCACUGCAACCUCUGCCUCCCAAGUUCAAGUGAUUCUCAUGUCUUAGCCUCCUGAGACAUGAGGCUGGGAUGACAGGCGCGUGGCACUAUGCCCAGCUAAUUUUUGUAUUUUUAAUAGAGACUGGGUGUCACCAUGUUGGCCAGGCUGUAGUUACUAUUUUUAAAGUAGACAUCUGAAGUUACCUACAAUCACAUAUUUGUUAUUACAUGCCAAUAAAAACAACAACAACAACAAAACAACACUCCUGCCCUUGAAAUUGGUCUUCAUUAUGAUUAUUUUGUAUAUAGGAAAGUUAAGCACUAGAAAGGCCAUGCUGCAUAUCCAUGUAAGCCAGCAGUAAAACUCAGAUUUUCAAGUUGACAUUAUUAAUUUAGUCUAAUGAGGGUUAUUUUGGGAGCCACCCCAAAUUUUAUCUAUUAGCAAAACUGGAGCAAUAAAUGUGUGCCAAAUGAGACUUACAACAGCUUUGAGUAACUGGGUAUACAAGGCAACAAAAAGAAACAUUAAAAGGUGGUUAUAGAUUAUUUUAUGUCUCUAAACAGUAAUUACUACCAAUAUUAUUUUACUAAGUCUUAAGAAAACUGUGAGAACCAGAUUAAUUUAUAUGUUCAUCGAAACAUAUGUAAUUGCUUCGUGAACUUUAUUUUAAAGGUCACUUAGUGUAUUAAAAACUUCUUCCCUGGCUACUAUGGGAAAUCUCAUAAAAUAAAGACCCAGAUUUUCAAAAAAAAUUUGUUUUUUGAGACAGAGUCUUGCUCUUGUCGCCCAGGCUGGAGUGCAAUGGCAUGAUCUCAGCUCACUGCAACCUCUGCCUCCUGGGUUCAAGCGAUUCUCCUGCCUCAGCCUCCUGAGUAGCUGGGAUUACAGGCGCCUGCCACCACACCGGGCUAAUUUUUGUAUUUUUAAAGAGACGAGGUUUUGCCGUGUUGCCCAGGCUGGCCUCAAACACCUGACCUCAUGAUCCGCCCGCCUCGGCCUCCCAAAGUGCUGGGAUUACAGGUGUGAGUCACCGUGCCCAGCCAAAAAAUUUCUUACCUGCUUUCCAAUUUUGCAUGAAUAGUGGUGAAAAUAAUCUAAUUACUAUGUUAAUAAAAAGAAGUAGCUGGACUGCCUGUUUGUCAUUUGUUCACCAAUCAUGUGAACUAUGUGUUGGAAUUAAGUGUUUGAUAGAGAUUUAUUUUAUUUUGUCCUCUCAAAUUAAUUUAGAUUCUAAAUCUAUUAAUUUAGAAAGUGAAGGGCAGAGAACGUUUCCAAGUGCCACGAUCAGGUAAUGUUUAACUUAAAUAAUAAAAAAAUAGAUAAGCAUAAAAGCCAUAGUAAAAUUGAGAUCUUUUUUUUGGAGACAGAGUCUCGCUCUGUUGCCCAGGCUGGAGUGCAGAGGCGCAAUCUCAGCUCACUGCAACCUUCGCCUCCCAGGUUCAAGAGAUUCUCCCACUUCAGCCUCCCAAGUAGCUGGGAUUACAGGUGCCUGCCACCAUGCCCAGCUAAUUUUUGUAUUUUUAGUAGAGACAGGGUUUCACCAUGUUGCCCUGGCUAGUCUGGAAUUCCUGAACUCAGGCAAUCCACCCACCUUGGCCUCCCAAAGUGCUAGGAUUACAGGCAUGAGCCACCAUGCCCGGCCUAAAAUUGAGAUCUUUAAGGACCUUAAGUUCAGAAUAAUGAUGCACAUGAACUAAAUUUAAGAAAGGGACAUCACCUCUUUUGAAAACAAAUAGUACUUAAAAACUAGUACUGAAAGAUGAACAAUUUUAAAAUUUGGAAAUUGAUAUAUGCCCCAUUUGGUUUGGACACGGAUUUUUUUUUUUUUAAAUCAGCUAUAUAGUAAGAUGAUAAAAGAGAAAAUCAAAUAAAUGCUAUAAUUAGGAAGAGAGUAAUUUAGUAUUUAGAGCUGUAUUCCAACUCCGCCACUUAUUAUGUGAGAAACAUUAGGCAAGUUAUUUAAUCUCUUUGUGUCUCAGUUUUCUCACCUCUGUAAAAGAGGAAAAUAUCAUAGGAAUGCUGUGAGACUUAAGUGAGUUAAUACUUUUAGAACAAUGCCUGGCUCCUAGCAAGUGGUCAAUAAAUGUAAACCACCACUAUUAUCAUUACUAUUAUAAAAAUAUAUUUAUUUUAAAUAAACAUCUUUUAGUUCACUUUGUGAAGUCACAGAGUGGAGCACACCCAGUUGCACUGAGCUGUAAACUCUAAGGAAAGGCCAAAGGCUGAAUGGGCCACCUAGACUGAUGAGUCAGACACAGCAGCAGUUCAGGUUUCCAGACUGAUUCAGUCCUUGGCGUCUAUCCCGAGGCUGACAACAAGAAUGCUAAUUAGUGCCAAGGGUGAUGAGUUUUGUAACAUGGGGUGCUCCAUUAGAGAUGCAAAUCAGAUCACUUACAUCUUGUACAGAGCACCAAUAGUAAUCAAGUUCAGAUUCACACCGGUAACAUAGAGGUAAAAUGCUUCAUAUCUAGUUACCAUGUUCCUGAACCAUAUGCUUCUGAAUUCUAUGUUCUCUACUCACCUACUGCCAAGGAGCUAAACAUAGCUAAAGGAUUUAAAUUAUAAUUUGAUCUGACAACCAGGUAUCAAACAAUCCUUCUUUAGCCAAAUAAGUAGAGCAGAGACAAAUAUCAGAGCAGUAUAUCCAGUUUAUGCUAUGUGCUUUGUGAUAGGAAAAUAAUAAUUGAGCGUAUUGAUAUAUCUCUUGUAUUAUCUGAUCUAAAAAGGAUGUCAGCAUAAGCUUGGUAUUCAACAUAGACUAACCAAAUUAUUGUUAAGGUUAAGUGAUUUUGAAUAGAGAAAUCUAGGAAAGUGAGGAAUAUCCUAACCUUUCUAUGAUCGUGAAUUGUCUAAUAGACUACCGUUGAAUGCAUAUAAACACUCUUAUGUAGAAUAAGACAAAGCAGAUUCAGUUCUUCUAAAUAAAUGCUCCUGAGGAUAAUGAUGAUGAACUGGGACAGAUGUCAAAUACAAAGGAACGGUGAUGUUUUAAAUCCUAUUAUAUUCAAAUGCCCAAAUAUUAUUAAUAAUACUGUGCUUGAAUAAUUUUUUUGCCUCACUCUGUCACUCAGGCUGGAGGGCAGUGGCACAAUCUCAGCUCACUGCAACCUCCGCCUCCCAGGUUCAAGUGAUUCUCCUGCCUCAGUCUCCCGAGUAGCUGGGACUACAGGCGGCUGCCACCAUGCCCGGCUAAUUUUUGUAUUUUUAGUAGAGACGGGGCUUCACCAUAUUGGCCAGGCUGGUCUUGAACUCCUGACCUUGUGAUCCUCCUGCCUCAACCUCCCAAAGUCAGAUCUGCUUUAAUACUCAUGUUUCACAUAUGAGAAAACUGACAUACAGAAAGAACAAUUGACUUAAGAGUUACACGGCAAGUCAAUACUGAAGUAUUAAGAGUUAUCAUUUGCCCAGACCAGUGUUUAUCUUAUAAAUCUUCAGGUUUUGGUGAAUCUUGUCCCCAUAAAUAGGAUGACAUGAUUUAGGAAUUAUUAGAAAUAUCGGUUGAUUUGUGUAUAUUAUCUUUUAUCGAUCUCUGAAUCAAAUUCAUACCUAAUAAUGAACUAUCUUAGCAUAAUUCUAUUCUAUUUCAAUUUUGUGAGAAAAAGGCCUAAUAAAAAAUUUAUUUUGAAAUCUGAUCUCCAGAUAACAAUUUUUUUUCCAUUCUGGAUUUUGGUAAAAUAUGCAUAACAUACAAUUUACCAUUUUAACCAUUUUGAAGGUUUCAGUUCUGUGGCAUUGAGUACACUCACAUUGUUGUACAGCCAUUGUCACCACCCACCUCCAGAAUCUUUUUCAUCUCGCAAAAUUAAACCUCUGUAUCCAUUAAACAAUAACCCCCUAUUCCCCUCUUCCCCCAACUGCUGGCAACCACCAUUCUCCUUUCUGUCCCUAGGACUUUGUCUUGCUACUCUUAGUUCCAUAUAACCUAUGCUUAUGAACAUUCAAAAGUGUUUUGUCUUUAAAGAAAACUUAGGGGAAGAUUCUUUAAAUUAUUCACUUCCAAUUAGUCUCUGAAGUAAGACUCUGUAACAGAGCUCUGCCUGGAGGAUCCACAUUAGGCUGGUUCUAGGUACUCAGUUUGUGGAGUUGUAAAUGGCUGGUACUUCAGAUGGGAGGCAGGGAGACCCUGGUCUGCAGUGUGAUUUGUGAUAGGCUCUCCCACCUUGCCACAGUGCACAGGAUGCUUCUGCAAAUUACAGCCAAAAAAGAGUUAGUCAUAUGCAUGCCUUUCAUGCCUUAUAAUUUUUUUUUUUUUUUUUGAGACAGGGACUGACUCUGUCACCCAAGCUGGAGUGUAAUAGAGUGAUCUCUUCUUACUACAGCCUCGACCUCCCAGACUCAAGCAAUCUUCCCACCUCAGCCUCCCGAGUAGCUGGGACCACAGAUAUGUGACUCCACACCCACACCCAGGUAAUUUUUGAAUUUUUUGUAGAGAAGGGGUUUUACCAUGUUGCCAAGGCUGGUCUGGAACUCCUGAGCUCAAGCAAUCCAUCCACCACAGCCUCCCAAACUGCUCCUGACCUCGUGCCUUAUAUCUUCUUCAUUGCUUUUAAAAAGUCUCCCUCUGUAGCCCAGGCUGGAGUGCAAUGGUGAAAUCUUGGCUCACUGCAACCUCCGUCUUCCAGGUUCAAGUGAUUCUCAGGCCUCAAUCUCCCUAGUAGCUGGGAUUACAGCACCCGCCACCAUGCCCAGCUACUUUUUGUAAUUUUAGUGGAGACAGGGAUUCACUAUGUUGGCCAGACUGGUCUCGAACUCCUGACCUCAAGUGAUCUGCCCACCUUGGCCUCCCAAAGUGCUGGGAUGACAGGCCUGAGUCACUGUGUCCAGCCCCCAUGCUUUAUAUUUUACACAGUCACACCCACCUAUUUUUUGUUUUCUUUGAAAAUGCUAAACUUUAAGACCCAGUGACAUUGUUUCAGAGGAGCCUAAUUUACAUAUCACGAAAUAAAUUUUAUUUGUAUUAAAUGCUGCUACCUAUGCCAGAGGUGUUUGAACCACGGUGACUUCCAUCUCGAAUAGGGGCUGGGUAAAAUAAGGCUGAGACCAAGGCUAGAGGCAGUGGCUCACGCUUGUAAUCCCAGCGCUUUGGGAAGCCGAGGUGGAUGGAUCACCUGAGGUCAGGAGUUGAAGACCAGACUGGCCAACAUGGUGAAACCCC